rnacentral:rRNA from 1 species
UACGAAGGGGGCUAGCGUUGUUCGGAAUUAUUGGGCGUAAAGAGCUCGUAGGCGGUCUGUCACGUCGGCUGUGAAAACCCGAGGCUCAACCUCGGGCCUGCAGUCGAUACGGGCAAACUAGAGUACUGCAGGGGAGACUGGAAUUCCUGGUGUAGCGGUGAAAUGCGCAGAUAUCAGGAGGAACACCGGUGGCGAAGGCGGGUCUCUGGGCAGUAACUGACGCUGAGGAGCGAAAGCGUGGGGAGCGAACAGG